UUGGGCGGUCAGCAACAUCCUUUCUUUUCUCUUAGCUUUCUUCUUCUUCUUAGCUUCUAUUCUUCUUCUUAGUUUUCUUUGGUAGCUUCAGAAAUGUCUUGAAAAGUUCCUCUCAUUCUCGGUCUUGUUUCCUCUGUUUCUUUUCUUGGCCUUUUUUACCAGGCGUGAUUUGAGGAACGAUGGAACCACCACCGCUUGAAAGCUCUGCAAUCUCCAUUGCCCUUUCUCGUUCAUCUCUUGGCCUUCUCUACCAGUUUUUUUCACUCAUCAGCUUCCUAUUUAAUUGUUCCCUUCAACGCGUCUUCCUCCAUAAUCUUAUCUAGAAAUCUACAGCAGAAUGCCUCUAUAUUUUUCCUGCACGCACAACAAAAAGAAAGUGGAAAAGAGGGCGACGAAGGAGGAGAGCUCCUUCCAUCGGCAUUAGAGGGAGAUUUACAGUUGCAUGGGACAUUGGAAACCACAAGGCUUCGAUUGGAGUUCAAAGAUAAAUAGGAAUUUUGGCGGUCGGCAAUUUCCUCUCAUCCUCUUCUUCGUUCUAUUCUUGGUUUUAGGAGCACCGCUUCAGAGUUUUGGCAGCUGCUACUUUUUCUUAUUCUUUUGUCGGUCUUGUUUCUUCGUUGUCGGUCUUGUUUCUUCGCCUUCUUUACCAGGUGUGUCUUUCCCGUUCCUCGCUCUUCUUCUGAGCUUUCUCUGGCCAGUGUUUUUUCCUUCCCCUGUUUUCCUAUUGAAUUUUCUACUAGAUUGCAGAUAAUUCAGUCGAGGAAGAAGCGGUUGAAUUGCGCAUAAGUUUGCGCAUCGGUGCAUAGGUGUAACUAUUACUUUUUUUUUUAUUGGGAUUUGUUUCUGGUUUGUUAAGUUGUGUUUUUCAUCGGGGAUUUGUUUCUGGUUUACUUGUUCUUCUUUGGCUGGAUUAGAUGUUAGAUUUAUUAUAUUCAAUUAAAUGUUAAAUUGUGUUUUUCAUUCCUUUUCUUCCGCAUGGAAUUCUUGGAUGGGAGCAAUUUUGGCAGUCAGCAAUUUCGGCCUUGUUUCCUCUCUGUCUUUUCUUGGCUUUCUUUACCAGGUGUGCCCUGUUCUCUCACCAUCGAAGUACACUGAUACAAUCGCCGCCCUUUCAAUCACCUACUGAGAGAUGACGCAUUCCAGUUGAACACUCUCAAGGCACGCAUGAAAUAAUCAACCGGAUAGCUUUGCUUUUUCUUGCUGCUCUCUCUAAGUUGCUCUACACACUUUUCCAAACCCUCUGCCAAUCCUCUCUUAUGAGGGCUGCUUGAAGGUGGGUAAAAAUAUUUUGCUGGCACCAGGUGAAGUUAAUUCUUGAGGCUUUAGCUUAUUUCCUUCCUAGCCUGUUUUUUGCCCCAAAAAUUUUGCCAAAUUUGAAACCCAACCAUAGCUAAAGUUGAUAAGUUGAUUAAACUUAAUAACCGUCUUAUUGUUUAGGGAUGAAAUUGAUUUGUACCGUGACCUUUGUUAUGUUUGGAUUAUUUAUUCUAUUUCCAAAUUUUUUUUAUUCUUUUCAAUAUGAUUUAAUAGAAAGCUUCAGUCAUGGGUUCGGCCUAAUUUUUUCAAAUUUUGAUCACUAGAAUUACGGUUUACUUAGUUUUAAGUUUCCUAACAAAUUUCUUGUAUUAUCUAAGAAUUUAAGUAAAACUCAUCUCCAGUAUCUCUGAUACUUCCAAGUGUGGUGUUAUUCAGCUCAAUAGUGGCUUCGCUCAAACUCCUCAGAUGAGGUACAAGUUACAUUCAUAGUAUCAUCCUUUCUGGAAUGCUUUUUUGUCUCUAUCUAGCUAUUGAUAUUGGUGGGAAGUCUGUCUAUUGAAAUAUGGGAAUGUAUCUAUAGUGUUGCUGGGAGACCAUACGGAACAUUUAUAAUAGGGCAUUUUCCUUUGUUCAAAUUUUGAUAGAUAACUAGCUGAACUUCCUAAUUACUUCUCUGUUGGUUUCACUUUGUACACUCGGGUCUUCAUGGAAAAAUCUUUCUCAAUACAAAAGGGGAUAUAGCAUAUAUAGGUACAUGCACAUGUCUGUUUGUGAGGGCAGGGGGAAGGCAUGCAUGUGUGUGUGUAGGAUGUUGGUGCGAUUGAUGUGUGGUGUACACCUGAUUUCUUGAUCUUUAAUGCAUUUUCCUAUUAAUCAUGAGAAAAGAUGUCAAAAAAUAGCAAUUGUUUGUGUAGAUCUUAUCUGACAUAUGUGAAGGAACUUAUGAUUUCUAAUGCCUUUGGUAACUUGAUAUUUCUAAAUAGGAUCAUAUUUACAUGGAAUGCCAAAUAAAGGUAGUAGUUUUAUUGCACUCUGGUAUGAUUUGGGCUUCGUGGCCAUUCUGUUAUGAAUGUUUACUGCAACAAUUAAGAUCAUAAUGCUUUUAACAUUCUGCAGAUUUACAGCAUAACAGCUUACUUGCCAACUAGGAUCAAUCCUGCUACUACCACCAAAGCAUGCAAUUCAUCGCCAGCUUCAAAAUUGCUUAUUUUAGAGAAGUAACGUCACUAAUAAGCAAGGCUACACAGUACAUGUAUAGCCUGAUGCCUUUUAGUUUUACCUAAUCUUAGGCAUUACUUACCGAUUAAUGCUACAUUAAGAAUGUUAAAUGCCACGUUAAGAAUGUUAGAUAAUCAUGCCUUUUAGUUCUGCCUAAUUUUAGACAUUGCUUACUGAUUAAUGCUACAUUAAGAAUGUUAGAUAACCCGAUUUUAAGGUCAUGUUUAUCUGUGCAAUUAGGAAAAAAAACACACACACACACACAUGUCUACUCUAUCUAACGAAGAAAAAAAACACACAAAUAUAACAGCAAAAUAACGAGUCUUAGCUACCUGAUGCAUGGCAUCAGGGCUUAAAAACUAGUAAAAGAAUAAAAGCGGGAAUGGAGUUAGGAACAGUGACUUUCGUCCCCAUUGGCACCUUGGCUGUGUGAUCAUUUUUGGAAUUUCACAGCAAAGGCUAAAGUGAUGGUGAGGUCCUGAUGAAGGAUCGGUCGGCUGGGAUUUGAUAUUGUGAUGGCGUUUUACUAUCCUACCCCUUGGUACCUAUUUUGCCCCUUUAUGAGGAAUGCCAACAUAGUAUGAGUUAUUGACUUUUUCGUCAUUUCAGCCCAUUAAUUACUCGACAAUUGGGAUUCAAGUGCUAAUGGUGCGCCCCCUCCAAAAAAGGAAAAAGUACUAAUGGUGUGGUGCAAUAGUGCUUUGUUGUGAGGCUUCUUCUGCUCGGUUUGAUCAUGGUUCAAAAACCUACACAUCACCAGUAAUCAUAAAAGAAAUAGAGCGGUGUUCGGCAUUUGGCCAUUGUCUUCUGCUGCGGAAUUCUAUCAAUGAGCUGUGCACUAUUGCAGUAAAUGCAAUUGAAAUUCCUCCUAAAGUCGCAGAAUCAGUUCAUAAAAAUUCGAUGGUAAACCAAUUUUCUGUACAUUGCGAACAACAGAGUGAAUAAAUAGCAUAUGCUUAGAUUGAAAGGCCAUGUAUCUUUACAAUGUGGCAACAAUUUUCCGGAUUGAAAGGAAAAAUAUCUGCUAAACAUCUUGAUUGAAUAGCCAUCAAUGAUAGUUACCAGUGCC